CCUGGCCGCACGGAGACGUUGAAUCAGCUUUCUGCUAUUCAUUCCCUCUGGAAGCCGGAUUAAGAAAAAAAAACUUUCUUUUAUGAUCUCUUAAAACGCCGAAUCUACGCCCAGCCUAAAUGAUGAGAAACGUUUGCAGAUCUACCGCAAAAUCUUCGCGUUGACGCGGCUGUCAUUUGACACCGACCCGCUGAGCUGGAGAGCAGGCCGCAGGAACGCCAUAGUCCAAAUAGCCGCCUUUGCUUUCCGAGCAACAACAGCAGAAGAGGAGCGACACCGCCAUGGCGUCUCGGCGCCAUGUUUGUGUGGCUGCUGGCGUCCCUGAAAUGAGGCAAAAAUGGCGUUUGGAACCAGCAGCAGGUCGAUUAUGGACGUACUACAAUCAAGCUGAGGACGGCUAGCAGCAGAUCGAUUAUGGAUUUACUUCAAUCAAGUUGAGGAUUCUCUUCACUGAAGCUGAGGAUCGCUUCCGUCAAGCUGAGGAAUCGCUACAAGGUGCCUGGCGGAUCCGCCCAACCCGUCAAAGGUUUGUUAAAUCUGUCAAGAACUGUUCCAAUGGCGGGUCCAGAAGACAUCUCAGGGUAGGAGCUGUUGUGGGUUUUGCUGUGCUGUUGAAGGCUAACGGCCUUAUGGUAUGACUCCGCUGUGGGUCAAUGAGCUUAGAAGGAUUCUGCUGUUGCAAUCCUUGAGUUUUUGGAGGGCUUUAGAGAUAGCUGCCAAGUAUUUGGCAAUUCCAGUUUAGAAUCAAGUCAUUCAACUUAGGCAUACCAAAUAUCACCAUAAUAAGCCUUUAUUUGGGUGAAAAUAGUCUUUUCCAUUUGAACAUGCAUACCUUUUAUUUUUUUUUGUAUCUCAAUUUGAAAUGAAGACGAUGUCCAUACUUUAAUCAUUCAAUAACUCAAACAAAUUUUAUUUACGUUCAACUUAAAUUAUAAAGUGAAAAGUUUAGUUUUGCGCCAAGAAGAUUCCUUGUGCAAUUUAAUUUCUUCUGGAAGAGGACUCGGCAAUUUCAUUUCUUCUGCAAGAGGACUCGGCAAUUUCAUUUCUUCUGCAAGAGGACUCGGCAAUUUCAUUUCUUCUGCAAGAGGACUCGGCAAUUUCAUUUCUUCUGCAAGAGGACUCGGCAAUUUCAUUUCUUCUGCAAGAGGACUCUGCAAUUUCAUUUCUUAAGGACGACAGUCAAUGGAGAGAUCAUCUGGCGCUGAAGAUCAGAAGUCAGAGUUAAUGUUUACACUAACUGAUCUUAUUUGCAGGUUGUCAGCUGAAAUUAACUCCAUGUUUUUCUUAGAUGAUCCAGUGGCACCUGUCUUUCAGUGUUUAAGUCCGUUUUUGUUUUUUUAACCAAGUUUAUCUCCUAGACUAAGCUGCUGGCUGACUUUUUGUUUCACUAAACUAUUUCUCUUAGAUAAAGCCACCGAAGGAGCUUCUACUGCUACUAAUUUUUUUCUCCUUUAGCAAUACUCCUGGAGCAAUUCUUUCUUUUUCUGUCUCUCUUCUUUCUUUUCAAAUUCCCCGGGGGUAGUGACAGAUGGCCUUUCUUUCAAAGCCAACUUCUUGUUCUGCUGGAGUGUUCUUCCUGUUAAAAGGAAGCAUUUCCUCUCUACUGUCACUACAUGCUUCCUCAGUCUGAGGAAUUUCUUUAGCUUACUCAGCUUUUAAAUAAUUGAUGCAGCGUUAAUCUUUGGAAAUACUUCCUGUUAAAGGGAAGUUUUUCCUUCACUGUAAUUACAUGGAUCCACAAUAUGAAUAAUUGCUUAAGCUUACUCUACUCUAAAAAAUUAAAUUAAUUGGUACUGUUUAAUUUUUGGAAAGUCUUUCUGUUAAAGGGAAGUUUUUCCUUCACUGUCACCACAUUGUUCCUGAAUAUGAGGCAUUGCUUAAGCUUACUCUACUUUUAAACAAUUGGUGCAGUGUUAAUUUUUGGAAAGUCUUCUUGUUAAAGGGAAGCUUUUCUUUAAUUGUCACAAGAAUCCUCAAUAUGAGGUUUAGGUAACUUAACCGGUUUAUUUUUGGAAAGUCUUCCUGUUAAAGGGAAGCUCUUU